CUAUAGGAGGUCCAGCCUGCCCAGUGACCUAGUUUAACGGCCGCGGUAUCCUAACCGUGCGAAGGUAGCGUAAUCACCUGUUUUUUAAUUGAAGACCUGUAUGAAAGGCAUCACGAGAAUCGUACUGUCUCCUUUUUUUAAUCAGUGAAACUAAUCUUCCCGUGAAAAAGCGUGAAUGUCUAUACAAGACGAGAAGACCCUUUGGAGCUUAAGAUAAAGUAACGUUUUGUACCUCCACUCUAACCUAUUUCUAUAAACAUUUACAUUACAAGUCUUCGGUUGGGGCAACCGCGGAGUAAAAUUUACCCUCCAAGCUGAACGGAAUUUUCCUAAGCAAGAAGCCACAACUUUAUGCAUCAAUAAAUUGACAUCAUGACCCAAUAUUUUGAUUAUCGAACCAAGUUACCCUAGGGAUAACAGCGCAAUCCACUUCGAGAGUUCAUAUCGACAAGUGGGCUUACGACCUCGAUGUUGGAUCAGGGUAUCCCAGUGGUGCAGCCGCUACUAACGGUUCGUUUGUUCAACG
rnacentral:rRNA from 1 species